GACAGAGGUCCCGAGCGUUAGGCGGAAUCACUGGGCUUAAAGCGUGUGUAGGCGGAUUUGUAAGUACCUUGUGAAAUCCCAACGGCUUAACCGUGGAACUGCUUGGUAUACUGCUUAUCUUGGGCCAUCUAGGGGCUACUGGAACAAACGGUGGAGCGGUGAAAUGCGUAGAUAUCGUUUGGAACGCCAAUGGUGAAAACAAGUAGCUGGGGAUGUGCCGACGCUGAGACACGAAAGCCAGGGGAGCAAACGGG
rnacentral:rRNA from 1 species